UCUGAAGAGGCCCAGGGCAGGGAGGCCAGGCGUCUCCAGUCCUGACCGACUGUCCUCUGGCCUGCUCUGCCUGCAGCUGGAAAAGCAAGUGUACUGAGGCCUCCUCUGGACUCCCUCAUGCUGCCCACUUCUCCCUCCAGCAAGUCCCUGGGCACUGCCAAUGGCCCUGGCCCCUCUCCUCUCUCACCCAUCCACCCACAGAGAGUUGCUAAACCUGUGUCAGGUGCUCUGUAUCUGAGACUUUGGGUGACAACAGUGAGCAAAGGCAGAUGUUGUCCCUGCCCUCAUGGAGCCUACAGGGUUUUGGAGGAGAGAGGUUAAAGAAUCACCAAGCAAAUAUCACCAGUGCUGAGGAGAGAGUACCAGGGAUCGAACUCAGGACCUUGUGCUUUCAAGGCAGGCAGUGGCACCACUGAGCUAAAUCCCAG
ensembl:lncRNA